rnacentral:rRNA from 1 species
AGCGUACACGGUGGAUGCCCUGGCAGUCAGAGGCGAUGAAGGACGUGCUAAUCUGCGAAAAGCGUCGGUAAGGUGAUAUGAACCGUUACAGCCGGCGAUGUCCGAAUGGGGAAACCCAGUGCAAUUCGUUGCACUAUCGUUAACUGAAUACAUAGGUUAACGAGGCGAACCGGGGGAACUGAAACAUCUAAGUACCCCGAGGAAAAGAAAUCAACCGAGAUUCCCCCAGUAGCGGCGAGCGAACGGGGAGCAGCCCAGAGUCUGAAUCAGCUUGUGUGUUAGUGGAACGGUCUGGAAAGUCCGACGGUACAGGGUGAUAGUCCCGUACACCAAAAUGCACAGGCUGUGAACUCGAAGAGUAGGGCGGGACACGUGGUAUCCUGUCUGAAUAUGGGGGGACCAUCCUCCAAGGCUAAAUACUCCUGACUGACCGAUAGUGAACCAGUACCGUGAGGGAAAGGCGAAAAGAACCCCGGCGAGGGGAGUGAAAAAGAACCUGAAACCGUGUACGUACAAGCAGUGGGAGCACCUUCGGGUGUGACUGCGUACCUUUUGUAUAAUGGGUCAGCGACUUAUAUUCUGUAGCAAGGUUAACCGUAUAGGGGAGCCGCAGGGAAACCGAGUCUUAACUGGGCGUUAAGUUGCAGGGUAUAGACCCGAAACCCGGUGAUCUAGCCAUGGGCAGGUUGAAGGUUGGGUAACACUAACUGGAGGACCGAACCGACUAAUGUUGAAAAAUUAGCGGAUGACUUGUGGCUGGGGGUGAAAGGCCAAUCAAACCGGGAGAUAGCUGGUUCUCCCCGAAAGCUAUUUAGGUAGCGCCUCGUGAAUUCAUCUUCGGGGGUAGAGCACUGUUUCGGCUAGGGGGUCAUCCCGACUUACCAACCCGAUGCAAACUACGAAUACCGAAGAAUGUUAUCACGGGAGACACACGGCGGGUGCUAACGUCCGUCGUGAAGAGGGAAACAACCCAGACCGCCAGCUAAGGUCCCAAAGUCAUGGUUAAGUGGGAAACGAUGUGGGAAGGCACAGACAGCCAGGAUGUUGGCUUAGAAGCAGCCAUCAUUUAAAGAAAGCGUAAUAGCUCACUGGUCGAGUCGGCCUGCGCGGAAGAUGUAACGGGGCUAAACCAUGCACCGAAGCUGCGGCAGCGACACUAUGUGUUGUUGGGUAGGGGAGCGUUCUGUAAGCCUGCGAAGGUGUGCUGUGAGGCAUGCUGGAGGUAUCAGAAGUGCGAAUGCUGACAUAAGUAACGAUAAAGCGGGUGAAAAGCCCGCUCGCCGGAAGACCAAGGGUUCCUGUCCAACGUUAAUCGGGGCAGGGUGAGUCGACCCCUAAGGCGAGGCCGAAAGGCGUAGUCGAUGGGAAACAGGUUAAUAUUCCUGUACUUGGUGUUACUGCGAAGGGGGGACGGAGAAGGCUAUGUUAGCCGGGCGACGGUUGUCCCGGUUUAAGCAUGUAGGCUGGUUGUCCAGGCAAAUCCGGAUAAUCAAGGCUGAGGUGUGAUGACGAGGCACUACGGUGCUGAAGUAACAAAUGCCCUGCUUCCAGGAAAAGCCUCUAAGCAUCAGGUAACAUCAAAUCGUACCCCAAACCGACACAGGUGGUCAGGUAGAGAAUACCAAGGCGCUUGAGAGAACUCGGGUGAAGGAACUAGGCAAAAUGGUGCCGUAACUUCGGGAGAAGGCACGCUGGUGUGUAGGUGAAGCCCCUGCGGGUGGAGCUGAGACCAGUCGAAGAUACCAGCUGGCUGCAACUGUUUAUUAAAAACACAGCACUGUGCAAACACGAAAGUGGACGUAUACGGUGUGACGCCUGCCCGGUGCCGGAAGGUUAAUUGAUGGGGUUAUCCGUAAGGAGAAGCUCUUGAUCGAAGCCCCGGUAAACGGCGGCCGUAACUAUAACGGUCCUAAGGUAGCGAAAUUCCUUGUCGGGUAAGUUCCGACCUGCACGAAUGGCGUAAUGAUGGCCAGGCUGUCUCCACCCGAGACUCAGUGAAAUUGAACUCGCUGUGAAGAUGCAGUGUACCCGCGGCAAGACGGAAAGACCCCGUGAACCUUUACUAUAGCUUGACACUGAACAUUGAGCCUUGAUGUGUAGGAUAGGUGGGAGGCUUUGAAGCGUGGACGCCAGUCUGCGUGGAGCCAACCUUGAAAUACCACCCUUUAAUGUUUGAUGUUCUAACGUUGGCCCCUGACCGGGGUUGCGGACAGUGUCUGGUGGGUAGUUUGACUGGGGCGGUCUCCUCCCAAAGCGUAACGGAGGAGCACGAAGGUUAGCUAAUCCUGGUCGGACAUCAGGAGGUUAGUGCAAUGGCAUAAGCUAGCUUGACUGCGAGCGUGACGGCGCGAGCAGGUGCGAAAGCAGGUCAUAGUGAUCCGGUGGUUCUGAAUGGAAGGGCCAUCGCUCAACGGAUAAAAGGUACUCCGGGGAUAACAGGCUGAUACCGCCCAAGAGUUCAUAUCGACGGCGGUGUUUGGCACCUCGAUGUCGGCUCAUCACAUCCUGGGGCUGAAGUAGGUCCCAAGGGUAUGGCUGUUCGCCAUUUAAAGUGGUACGCGAGCUGGGUUUAGAACGUCGUGAGACAGUUCGGUCCCUAUCUGCCGUGGGCGCUGGAGAAUUGAGGGGGGCUGCUCCUAGUACGAGAGGACCGGAGUGGACGCAUCACUGGUGUUCGGGUUGUCAUGCCAAUGGCACUGCCCGGUAGCUAAAUGCGGAAGAGAUAAGUGCUGAAAGCAUCUAAGCACGAAACUUGCCCCGAGAUGAGUUCU